AUUGAACGCUGGCGGCAGGCCUAACACAUGCAAGUCGAGCGGAUGAAGGGAGCUUGCUCCUGGAUUCAGCGGCGGACGGGUGAGUAAUGCCUAGGAAUCUGCCUGGUAGUGGGGGAUAACGUCCGGAAACGGGCGCUAAUACCGAAUACGUCCUGAGGGAGAAAGUGGGGGAUCUUCGGACCUCACGCUAUCAGAUGAGCCUAGGUCGGAUUAGCUAGUUGGUGGGGUAAAGGCCUACCAAGGCGACGAUCCGUACCUGGUCUGAGAGGAUGAUCAGUCACACUGGAACUGAGACACGGUCCAGACUCCUACGGGAGGCAGCAGUGGGGAAUAUUGGACAAUGGGCGAAAGCCUGAUCCAGCCAUGCCGCGUGUGUGAAGAAGGUCUUCGGAUUGUAAAGCACUUUAAGUUGGGAGGAAGGGCAGUAAGUUAAUACCUUGCUGUUUUGACGUUACCAACAGAAUAAGCACCGGCUAACUUCGUG
rnacentral:rRNA from 1 species